rnacentral:tRNA from 1 species
GAAAGUUGCUCAGUGGGAGAGUAUCUGCAUAGCAUGCAGAAAGUAUCUGGUUCAAUCCCUGGCAUCUUCA